UAUAUUCCCCAAAUGAAUGAGACCAUAUAAUGUUUGUCCUUCUCCGAUUGACUUAUUUCACUCAGCAUAAUACCCUCCAGUUCCAUCCACAUCGAAGCAAAUGGUGGGUAUUUGUCAUUUCUAAUGGCUGAGUAGUAUUCCAUUGUAUACAUAAACCACAUCUUCUUUAUCCAUUCAUCUUUCGAUGGACACCGAGGCUCCUUCCACAGUUUGGCUAUUGUGGCCAUUGCUGCUAGAAACAUCGGGGUGAAAAAAAAAAAAGAAACAUCGGGGUGCAGGUGUCCCUGCGUUUCAUUGCAUCUGAAUCUUUGGGGUAAAUCCCCAACAGUGCAGUUGCUGGGUCGUAGGGCAGGUCUAUUUUUAACUCUUUGAGGAACCUCCACACAGUUUUCCAGAGUGGCUGCACCAGUUCACAUUCCCACCAACAGUGUAAGAAGGUUCCCUUUUCUCCGCAUCCUCUCCAACAUUUGUUGUUUCCUGCCUUGUUAAUUUUCCCCAUUCUCACUGGUGUGAGGUGGGAUCUCAUUGUGGUUUUGACUUGUAUUUCCUUGAUGGCAAGUGAUGCAGAGCAUUUUCUCAUGUGCGUGUUGGCCAUAUUUUUGGUCUUUCUCCAACACAAAGGUAAGUUCCAUGUCUUUCCUGCUCACCUUUUAUUUUCAGUACCUGGUAUAGUGCACCAUAAAAGGUUAUAAAAUGACUGAAUGGUGUAUAAUUGUUCAUACUAGUCUGAGAUUUAUUGUAUUUCUGUGAUAUCAGUUGUAACUUCUUUCAUUUCUGAUAUUAUUUGAGUCCUCUAUUUUUUUGUGUAUUUUUUUAUUGGAGUUCGAUUUACCAACAUACAGCAAAUCACCCAGUGCUCAUCCUGUCAAGUGCCCCCCUCAGUGCCCGUCACCCAGUCAUCCCAUUCCCCCACCCACCUCCCCCUCCAUUACCCCUUGUUCAUUUCCCAGAGUUAGGAGUCUCUCAUGUGUUGUCACCCUCUCUGAUUUUUCCCACUCAUUUUCUCUCCUUUCCCCUAUAAUCCCUUUCACUCUUUCUUAUAUUCCCCAUAGGAGUGAAACCAUAUCAUGAUUCUCUUUCCCCGAUUGACUUACUUCACUCAGCAGAAUACCCUCUAGUUCCAUCCAUGUUGAAGCAAAUGGUGGUUUUUCAUAAUUUCUGAUGGCUGAGUGAUAUUCCAUUGUAUAUAUAUAUACCACAUCUUCUCUAUCCAUUCAUCUGUCGAUGGACACUGAGGCACCGAGAAACACUUUCUAUAGCUUGCAUUAGGAGAAAAACAGAUUGUUGUUUUGUCGCAUCUAUGGCCUCCUUGUGUGGGGUUUGAUAGCAACUUCCAGGUAAAAUCUGUGAGUUGCUGAGUUAAUGUGGAAGCAGAUAACUCCACAAGGGUGCCCUAUACCGCAUGGCUUUGUGACAAGUAUGCAGGUCCUAUCGGACCUGCUCUGUUUUGUAAAUCUCUAGGUAAGAUAUGUUUAGUCAAUCUCCUACCCAGGAGCCAUUCUGAGCCAUUCCUCGCUGUACAUCUUUGAUUUUUUAAGUGUAGCUAGUGAUCAUCUCCUUCACUGGGGGUUCAGGCAGUUCCUUAGCCCAAGUAAGUGAAUUGUGAUUAAGUCAAUGAAUCCAAUUACAUCCUAUUUUUCAGUAUCUGAUUUAGGAAUAGGCACGUGACACAGUUCUGGCCCAUGAAGGCUAGAAAUCUGCUGUGGAACUUUGGGGAAAGUUCUCCUAUCUUUAUAACAGGCAUCCAAGUGAGGGGUAUUUUCCAUGCCAUUUGGUUACUUUGUGAAGGUGUGAUGCUUAGAGACAUCAUCUUUUCCACCAUGAGGGGUGCCAGUACAAAGGAAAAGUCAAUGAACUGGCCCAGAGUGGUGAGAGGAAAGAACCAUGUCCUUCAUUGUAUUAUGAGCUGCUGAGUUAACCUAGUUUGGAAUUACCUUAACUCUGGACUUCUUAUGUGAAAGAAUAUAUUUUUAUUUAUUUAAGCCGCUUUUAGUUGAGUUUUUUCUGUUGCAAUUCAGAGCAUUAUGAUACAGAAAUUAAGAAGAACUAACAAAUGGCUAUUUGUGUAUACUAAAGGGGAAAGCAUCCUUGGCACUGGGUAGGUAAAGAUAUUGCAUGCUUUUGGAUAGGCAAGGCUAUACGAACAUGUACCGGGUUGUGAGUUGUCUUUGGGGUGAUCCAUGUUAGAGCAGCAAAGGAAGCCACUUUAGGAGCACCUGAAUUAAUCUCAGUUUUGAAGAGCUCAAAAUAAGGGAGUCAAGAGCAAAAAGCCACUGUUAUGGUGUGUUCCUGUAAGGCUUCAUUAGUUCACAAGGAAAAUGCCAAGUAUCCAAAAGGUCUGAAAGUCUGGAAUAAAGGUGUCAUAGCAUCUGUGAAGAAGAUACAUGUAUGUGUGUGUGUAGGCAAUCAUGAAAAAAUGUAGGGAAAGGAGAAUUUUAAUUACUGUAGCACCUGGUGAUAUAACCCAGAGUGAGUACACAUUUGCUGUAUAGUUCAUGUAUGGGAUAAUAAAAGAAAUUCUUUGCAAAACAGCUCUGGAUGGCAGAGAAAGCUGUCCAGCUCCAGCUCGAUGUCCAUAAUGGGUUAUCCCAAGCUACGGGCCUCUUGGAAAUACACCAACAACCUGGUUUGUGUCAGGACAUCAAUUCCGUUGAGAACAACCAGAAUGAUGAAAACACUCUUGAUACUUGAAACUGCUCAUAUUUUAAUUCACUUGUUACAGGAUAAAUGUGUGGCCUCUGUGCUCUGAAACAAAUUCUGAUGUAUUUCUUGGAAUGAAGGAAACAAAUUUUCUAAUUUC
rnacentral:lncRNA from 1 species